rnacentral:rRNA from 1 species
UACGUAGGGGGCAAGCGUUGUCCGGAUUUAUUGGGCGUAAAGAGCAUGUAGGCGGCUAGGUAGGUCCGUUGUGAAAACUCGAGGCUCAACCUCGAGACGCCGGUGGAAACCAUCUAGCUAGAGUCCGGAAGAGGAGAGUGGAAUUCCUGGUGUAGCGGUGAAAUGCGCAGAUAUCAGGAAGAACACCCGUGGCGAAGGCGGCUCUCUGGGACGUGACUGACGCUGAGACGCGAAAGCGUGGGGGAGCGAACAGG